UACGGAGGGUGCAAGCGUUAUCCGGAUUCACUGGGUUUAAAGGGUGCGUAGGCGGGCAGGUAAGUCAGUGGUGAAAUCUCCGGGCUUAACCCGGAAACUGCCGUUGAUACUAUCUGUCUUGAAUAUAGUGGAGGUGAGCGGAAUAUGUCAUGUAGCGGUGAAAUGCUUAGAUAUGACAUAGAACACCAAUUGCGAAGGCAGCUCACUACGGAUAUAUUGACACUGAGGCACGAAAGCGUGGGGAUCAAACAGG
rnacentral:rRNA from 1 species